rnacentral:rRNA from 1 species
AUCUCCUGGCUCAGGACGAACGCUGGCGGCGCGCCUAACACAUGCAAGUCGAACGAGAGAUGAGGAGCUUGCUCUUCAAAUCGAGUGGCGAACGGGUGAGUAACGCGUGAGGAACCUGCCUCAAAGAGGGGGACAACAGUUGGAAACGACUGCUAAUACCGCAUAAGCCCACGGGUCGGCAUCGACCAGAGGGAAAAGGAGUGAUCCGCUUUGAGAUGGCCUCGCGUCCGAUUAGCUAGUUGGUGAGGUAAUGGCCCACCAAGGCGACGAUCGGUAGCCGGACUGAGAGGUUGAACGGCCACAUUGGGACUGAGACACGGCCCAGACUCCUACGGGAGGCAGCAGUGGGGAAUAUUGCACAAUGGGGGAAACCCUGAUGCAGCGACGCCGCGUGGAGGAAGAAGGUUUUCGGAUUGUAAACUCCUGUCGUUAGGGACGAUAAUGACGGUACCUAACAAGAAAGCACCGGCUAACUACGUGCCAGCAGCCGCGGUAAAACGUAGGGUGCAAGCGUUGUCCGGAAUUACUGGGUGUAAAGGGAGCGCAGGCGGGAAGACAAGUUGGAAGUGAAAUCUAUGGGCUCAACCCAUAAACUGCUUUCAAAACUGUUUUUCUUGAGUAGUGCAGAGGUAGGCGGAAUUCCCGGUGUAGCGGUGGAAUGCGUAGAUAUCGGGAGGAACACCAGUGGCGAAGGCGGCCUACUGGGCACCAACUGACGCUGAGGCUCGAAAGUGUGGGUAGCAAACAGGAUUAGAUACCCUGGUAGUCCACACCGUAAACGAUGAUUACUAGGUGUUGGAGGAUUGACCCCUUCAGUGCCGCAGUU